GAAAUGCGAUAAGUAAUGUGAAUUGCAGAAUUCAGUGAAUCAUCGAAUCUUUGAACGCACCUUGCGCUCCUUGGUAUUCCUUCGAGCAUGCCUGUUUGAGUAUCAUGAAAUCUUCAAAGUAAAUCUUUUGUUAACUCAAUUGGUUUCUACUUUGGUAUUGGAGGUCUUUGCAGCUUCUCACCUGCUCCUCUUUGUUCAUUAGCUGGAUCUCAGUGUUAUGCUUGGUUCCACUCGGCGUGAUAAGUUAUCUAUCGCUGAGGACACUGUAAAAGGUGGCCAAGGUAAAUGCAGAUGAACCGCUUCUAAUAGUCCAUUGACUUGGACAAUACUUUUAUGAUCUGAUCUCAAAUCAGGUAGGACUACCCGCUGAACUUAAGC
rnacentral:misc_RNA from 1 species